rnacentral:lncRNA from 1 species
AGCCGAAUGACGUGUACUUCUGUCCUCAUUAAAGCCUCCUUUGAAUUACAGGUCAACUGAUUAUGGGACAACCUAUGAGAAGCUGAAUGAUAAAGUGGGUUUGAAGACAAUCUUGAGCUACCUUUAUGUGUGUCCUACCAACAAGCGUAAGAUUAUGUUACUCACAGACCCGGAGAUUGAGAGCAGUUUAUUGAUCAGCUCAGAUGAAGGGGCAACGUAUCAAAAGUACCGGCUGAACUUUUACAUCCAGAGCUUGCUUUUCCACCCAAAGCAAGAAGACUGGAUUCUGGCAUACAGUCAAGACCAAAAGUUAUACAGCUCUGCCGAGUUUGGGAGAAGAUGGCAGCUUAUCCAAGAAGGGGUGGUACCAAAUCGGUUCUACUGGUCUGUGAUGGGGUCGAACAAGGAACCAGACCUGGUGCAUCUCGAGGCCAGAACUGUGGAUGGUCAUUCACAAUACCUUACUUGCCGAAUGCAGAACUGCACAGAAACCAACAGAAAUAAACCUUUCCCAGGCUACAUUGACCCAGACUCUUUGAUUGUCCAGGAUGAUUAUGUGUUUGUUCAGCUGACGUCAGGAGGAAGACCACAUUACUACGUGUCCUACCGGAGGAAUGCUUUUGCCCAAAUGAAGCUUCCGAAAUACGCUUUGCCCAAGGUAUACCCUGAUUGGCUUUUUCCAUUUCACUACUUUCUCUGAUUCACAUUGUCCUGCCUCCACUCUGUUCUCG